rfam:Eubacterium sp. CAG:76 genomic scaffold, scf53
GGGCUUGUAAAGGUUUCGACAGGGGUUUUGAAACUGGUGAAGCUAUCCGUAUGCAAUGCGUUAAAUGGCAAACUUAAAUAUAAACGCUGAAGAUAAUUUAGCAUACGCUGCCUAAGUUGCAGCAGUCUGACCUAGAGCACUCACACUUUAGGAUCCAGGCUUCGAAUAUGUGAGAAACGACAUAGCUUAAGCUUUGCGGUUAUGGACGUAUUAUGAAGCUACUAAGUGCAUAAGGGUGUUAGUUCCCGUAUGCAUAAGGGAAUGUCAAAUAACUGACUAUGAUAGUAGAAGAACAGCGGAUGGGCUUUUGGACAGGGGUUCGACUCCCCUCAGGUCCACUU